rnacentral:rRNA from 1 species
AGAGUUUGAUCCUGGCUCAGAACGAACGCUGGCGGCGCGUCUUAAGCAUGCAAGUCGAACGGCAGUCGUAGCAAUACGACGAGAGUGGCGAACGGGUGAGUAACACGUAGGUGAUCUGUCCAACCGUUGGGGAUAGCUCAUGGAAACAUGAGAUAAUACCGAAUACGUUCCUCUGGAUCUGUCCGGAGGAGGAAAGGUGCGAUUGCACCGCGGUCGGAUGAGCCUGCGGUCCAUUAGCUUGUUGGCGGGGUAAAAGCCCACCAAGGCGACGAUGGAUAGCCGGCCUGAGAGGGUGGUCGGCCACACUGGAACUGAGACACGGUCCAGACUCCUACGGGAGGCAGCAGCUAAGAAUCUUCCGCAAUGGGCGAAAGCCUGACGGAGCGACGCCGCGUGGAUGAUGAAGACCGAAAGGUUGUAAAAUCCUUUUCCUAACGAAGAAUAAAGGCAGGAGGAAAUGCCUGUCCGAUGACGUUAGUUAGGGAAUAAGCCCCGGCUAAUUACGUGCCAGCAGCCGCGGUAACACGUAUGGGGCGAGCGUUGUUCGGAUUUAUUGGGUGUAAAGGGCGCGUAGGCGGUUUUGCAAGCCUGGUGUGAAAUACCUCAGCUUAACUGAGGAAACGCGCUGGGAACUGCAAGACUAGAGUUCGAGAGGGGAGACUGGAAUUCCUGGUGUAGGGGUAAUAUCUGUAGAUAUCAGGAAGAACACCGGUGGCGAAGGCGAGUCUCUGGCUCUGGACUGACGCUGAGGCGCGAAAGCGUAGGGAGCAAACAGGAUUAGAUACCCUGGUAGUCUACGCUGUAAACGAUGUGCACUAGGUGUUGGCGGUGAAUGCCGUCAGUGCCGUAGCUAACGCGUUAAGUGCACCACCUGGGGAGUAUGCCCGCAAGGGUGAAACUCAAAGGAAUUGACGGGGGCCCGCACAAGCGGUGGAGUAUGUGGUUUAAUUCGAUUGUACACGAGGAACCUUACCAGGGUUUGACAUAUGCAGGAAGGUAUGAGAGUUUAUGCCGCCCCUUUGGGGCCUGUAUACAGGUGUUGCAUGGCUGUCGUCAGCUCGUGCCGUGAGGUGUUGGGUUAAGUCCCGCAACGAGCGCAACCCCUGCUGUCUGUUACCAACAGGUAAUGCUGAGGACUCAGGCGGAACUGCCGGUGACAAACCGGAGGAAGGUGGGGAUGACGUCAAGUCAUCAUGGCCCUUAUGUCCUGGGCUACACACGUACUACAAUGGUAGGUACAGAGCGACGCGAUACCGCGAGGUGGAGCAAAUCGCAGAAAACCUAUCUCAGUCCAGAUUGAAGUCUGAAACCCGACUUCAUGAAGUUGGAAUCGCUAGUAAUCGCGCAUCAGAAUGGCGCGGUGAAUACGUUCCCGGGCCUUGUACACACCGCCCGUCACACCACCCGAGUUGGGGGUACCCGAAGUCGCUUGUCUAACCGUUAAGGGGGACGGUGCCGAAGGUACGCCUAGUGAGGGGGGUGAAGUCGUAACAAGGUA